UCCUCUCUUACAAAACUAUUCCCCUCUUCCCUUAUGGAGGUGGUACUAGCUUCCUCUCUUACAAAACUAUUCCCCUCUUCCCUUAUGGAGGUGGUACUAGCUUCCUCUCUUACAAAACUAUUCCCCUCUUCCCUUAUGAAGGCGGGACUAGCUUCCUCUCUUACAAAACUAUUCCCCUCUUCCCUUAUGGAGGUGGUACUAGCUUCCUCUCUUACAAAACUAUUCCCCUCUUCCCUUAUGGAGGUGGUACUAGCUUCCUCUCUUACAAAACUAUUCCCCUCUUCCCUUAUGGAGGUGGUACUAGCUUCCUCUCUUACAAAACUAUUCCCCUCUUCCCUUAUGGAGGUGGUACUAGCUUCCUCUCUUACAAAACUAUUCCCCUCUUCCCUUAUGGAGGUGGUACUAGCUUCCUCUCUUACAAAACUAUUCCCCUCUUCCCUUAUGAAGGCGGGACUAGCUUCCUCUCUUACAAAAC